GACCGAGAUCUGGACGGCGCCUGUGCAC
rnacentral:sRNA from 1 species